rnacentral:lncRNA from 1 species
UCCAUGCAAUCAGCAUUAGGGUUCUAAACCCUAAACUGAAUUUUCCUUUUAGUCAGCAUUAGGGUUUUAAACCUUAAACUGAACUUUUUCCUUUUCAGCCAGCAUUAGGGUUUUAAACCCUAAACUGAGCUUUUCCAUGCAAUUAGCAUUAGGGUUCUAAACCCUAAACUGAAUUUUCCUUUUAGUCAGCAUUAGGGUUUUAAACCCUAAACUGAACUUUUUCCUUUCAGCCAGCAUUAGGGUUUUAAACCCUAAACUGAGCUUUUUCAUGCAAUCAGCAUUAGGGUUUUAAACCCUAAACUGAAUUUUUCCUUUUAGUCAGCAUUAGGGUUUUAAACCCUAAACUGAAUUUUUUCUUUUAGUCAGCAUUAGGGUUUUAAACCCUAAACUGAAAUUUUUCCUUUAGCCAGCAUUAGGGUUUUAAACCCUAAACUGAGCUUUUCCU